GCAUAUGCUAUCAAUGUAACAGCUACUGUCACAUCAAUUGCACGAAGAAAUUAUAGCAAGGUAUAUCAACAUGCUUAAAUAUAUCUAUAUGAAAUUCAUAUCAAGACAUAUGAAAUAAAGCAUUGCUAUCACAUAGCAAACUACAAACCUAGGUGAUCAUAAAUCCUACACCUAAGCAUGAUUAUUUGAUUGAACAAACCAAGGGUGGCUUUGAUGCCACUGU
rnacentral:lncRNA from 1 species